UGAAUGCGCUGGUGUUUUUUAAGGCUACCACUCUCAGAAAAGGUUUUUCCACAUUGAUCACACCAGUACGGUUUCUCUCCAGUGUGAACACGUCGGUGUUUUUUAAGGUUACUACUCUGAGAAAAGGUUUUACUACAUAAAUCACAGCUGUAAGGUUUAUCUCCAGUGAGAAUGCGUUGAUGUUUUUUAAGGCUACCACUCACAGAAAAUGUUUCCCCACAUUGAUCACAGCUGUACGGCUUCUCUCCA